rnacentral:rRNA from 1 species
AUUGAACGCUGGCGGCAGGCCUAACACAUGCAAGUCGAACGAAGUCUUCGGACUUAGUGGCGGACGGGUGAGUAACACGUGGGAACGUGCCUUUAGGUUCGGAAUAACUCAGGGAAACUUGUGCUAAUACCGAAUGUGCCCUUCGGGGGAAAGAUUUAUCGCCUUAGAGCGGCCCGCGUCUGAUUAGCUAGUUGGUGAGGUAAAGGCUCACCAAGGCGACGAUCAGUAGCUGGUCUGAGAGGAUGAUCAGCCACAUUGGGACUGAGACACGGCCCAAACUCCUACGGGAGGCAGCAGUGGGGAAUCUUGCGCAAUGGGCGAAAGCCUGACGCAGCCAUGCCGCGUGAAUGAUGAAGGUCUUAGGAUUGUAAAAUUCUUUCACCGGGGACGAUAAUGACGGUACCCGGAGAAGAAGCCCCGGCUAACUUCGUGCCAGCAGCCGCAGUAACAC